GCAAGUCGAGGGGUAACAGAGGUAGCUUGCUACUUGCUGACGACCGGCGCACGGGUGCGUAACGCGUAUACAAUCUACCUUUUGCUGAGGAAUAGCCCAGAGAAAUUUGGAUUAAUGCCUCAUAGUAUGGAGACUUCGCAUGGAGACUCUAUUAAAGGUUACGGCAAAAGAUGAGUAUGCGUCCUAUUAGUUAGUUGGUGUGGUAACGGCACACCAAGACAGCGAUAGGUAGGGGCCCUGAGAGGGGGAUC
rnacentral:rRNA from 1 species